GCGGGCGUAGCUCAGUGGUAGAGCACAACCUUGCCAAGGUUGGGGUCGAGGGUUCAAAUCCCUUCGCCCGCUCCA
rnacentral:tRNA from 3 species